CGAUGGCCUGGGCUGCUACGGCCCCCGGACCGCGCCCGGGCGGUGAUGCGGGACGGCUCGACCGGACCGUUCGGCGUGGCCGCCGUCGUC
rnacentral:tRNA from 1 species